rnacentral:lncRNA from 1 species
AGGACAAAUGUAGGUGUAUGAAAUAAAACCGUCCAGAAAUAAACCCAGACAUCUGUGGCCAAUUGAUUUUCAACAAGGGUACAAAUACCAUUCAGUGGGGGAAAUAAUCUUUUCAACAAAUGUUGGAAUAACUGGAUAUCCACAUGCAAAGGAAUUUUCUCCCUUACCUUGUGCCAAUUAAAAAAAAAAAUCCAAAGUAGGAGCUCAAACUUUAAAAUUUGCAGUAGGAAACAUAUGUAUAAGUCUUCAUGGCCUUAAAGUUGGCAAUGGUUUCACCAAAAGCAUAAGCAACUAAAGGAAACAACAGAUAAAUUGAGCUUCAUCAAAAAUUUUAAAAAGCCAAACAACUUUUGUGCUUCAACAACACCAGCACAGAAGUGAAAAGAUCAAUAGAAGAGGAGGAAAUGCUUUCAAAUCACUUAUUUGAUAAGGAUCUAGUCUCCAAAAUAUAGAGAAUUCUUACAGGUCAACAAUAAAGACAACUACCCCAAUUAAAAAUGGUCCAAGUAUCUGGAUAGACAGUUCUUCACAGAAGAUGCAUACAUAGUGAAUAAACAUGAAAAGAUAUUUGGCAUCAUUAUCUAUUAGCAUAUAUAAAUCAAAGCCAUAAUAAGAUACCACCUUACACCCAUUAGGAUGGCUUUAAUAAUAAUAGUAAUAAUUAAGGAGAAUAACAAAUUGGUGAGGAUGAGGAGAAACUGGAAACAUGGUAGGAAUGUAAAAUGGUGCAGUUGUUAUGGAAAACAGUUUAGAGAUUCCUGAAUAAGUUAAGCAUAGAAUUGCCAUAUGACCAUCAAUUCCACUCCUAGGUGUACACCCAAAGAAAGAGGGCAAGAUGUGCUGGCACAUGCCUGUAAUCCUAGCAUCUUGAGAGGCUGAGGCAGGAGGAUCACAAAUUCAAGGCCAGCCAAAGCACCUUAGUGAGACCCUGAUUCAGGAAAUAAAAAGAGCUGGGGAUGCUCAGUGGUAAAGUGCCCCUGGGUUUAAUCCCCAGUACCAGAAAAAAAAAUUGAAAAAGGUAUUAAAAACAAAUUCUUGUAUAUGAAUAUUCAUGCACAUUAUUCCUAAUAGCUCCAAAGUGGAAACAACCCAAACGCCUAUCAAGUGAUGAAUAUAGUAUAUGCACAUGAUGGAAUACUAUUAAACUGUGAAAAGGAAUGAAGUUUUAAUACAUUCUAUCACAAAGGUGAACUUUAAAUCAAUAUGCUAAGGGAAAGGAGCCAGUCACAGAAGAUCACAUAUUGUAUGAUUCAAUUCAUGAGUUAUUCAGAAUAGGCAAAUCUACAGAAAGUAAAUUAAUGGUUACCUAGGGCUGUGAGUUAUUAGGAGAAAAUGAAGAAGUGACUGCUAAUAAAUACAGAAUUUGAGGGGGGGCAUAAUGAAAAUUAGUGGUUAUUAUUGUACAACUCUGAAUUUUCAAAAAAUUGUAUAUUUUAAGUGGAAUCUGAAUUAUAUCUCAGUAAAACUGUUGAAAAUAAAUGAUGGAAUGUAUUAUACACUAAAAAGUCAUAUUUUUGUGAUGCUGGGGUUCAAAUCCAGGGCCUUGGACACAAAUGGCAACAUCAUGUUGUUUUGAUUACUAGACAGUUUUAUUUGUUAAUUUAAAAAAUCUGACAAAUUUUGUAAAGCAGGGAUUGAUCACCAAACUUUGCCCACAGGGUAAAUAAUGUACUCCCUUGUUUUUGUAAAUAAAGUUUUAUUGGAAUUCAAAAAUAAAUGAU